rnacentral:rRNA from 1 species
GACAGAGGUGCCAAGCGUUAGGCGGAAUCACUGGGCUUAAAGCGUGUGUAGGCGGACUGGUAAGUACCUUGUGAAAUCCCACGGCUCACCCGUGGAACUGCUUCGCAUACUGUUUGGCUCGAGGAUGGUAGAGGAGAGCGGAACUCCUGGUGGAGCGGUGAAAUGCGUAGAUAUCAGGAGGAACACCGGUGGCGAAGGCGGCUCUCUGGUCCAUUUCUGACGCUGAGGUGCGAAAGCUAGGGUAGCGAACGGG